UUUUUUUUUUGCAAAAGGUCCCACUUUACGUAAUGGUCCUACAUUUUCUCUUGUAAAGUAGGAGCAAAAUGGCAGACAAUAAUGUUGGAGUGAAAUAUUCCACAAAUUGAUCCUCCUAGGGAUGAGUUCUUGUACGCAAAUAUAAAACAUCUAUUUCUCCAUAGGCAGGUCAUUUGACUUAAAAAAAAAAAAACUUUUCCUUCUAAAAUAUAGUACAUUUACUGUCGAUAGUUGGUAGUCUUUAAAACUAAAACCGUGAUAGAGGGAAAGCUUUUCUUGUUCUGAGACGCCUCCUCUACCGAGCUUUCAUUGCGUCUGUAUUCGGUUCAUUACGGUAGUGUUAGUGACAUACGCAUUAUGGGCAAAGACGUCAAAAAGUUUGUCAGUAGGUCGGUUUGCUUCCUUUAACACAAUACCUGCUUACAAAGUAUCAAAGAGGACAAAAGUCUAUGCCUGGGUCAGAUUGUUCUUCAUUUGUUAUCAGCUAAGAUAGAGGACUUUGACCUACACCUCACACCUCGUAGGUCCUUCUCAAUCAACAGUAGCCAUGAAGACUC